rnacentral:lncRNA from 1 species
GUCAUCCUUUCAGCAGCGGAAUGUGCUCUAGUUUCCAUAUGUCAGGUUUUCUUCAGACUGUUAUAGUGAAAUGAAUCCUCAUAUCUUCUAUGAGCCGUGACAUCAGAGCAGCACCUCAAGCUGCUUUAUUAUGACACGCACGGACAGAUUAACAGCAGCUUUAGACAGAGCUGGAUAAAGAUCACCUACGAACAAAAUGAAAACAACACGUCAUUCACACCAUCUGUAUUGUAUGCUCAUCCUUUCAGGAACAGACACAAUACGUUCUGAGAUAAUUGACCCGCUUAGGGUGUUAUGACACCCACCGCAACAAUAAACCCCAUUCGUACACACAUUUAAAGUAGUAGUUCACCUAAAUAUGAGCAGCCUGUUAUUGUUUACCCACUCUCCUCUCGAUUUAAACCUUUCUUCUGUUGAGCACAAAGAAAUAUCCAUUAAAGAGUGUUGGGGAAAAAACAGCCAUUGACUUCCAUAGUAUUAUUUGUUCUACUAAAGAUUUCAAUGACUGCUUUUUUCCCCAACAAUUUUCAAAAUAUAAUAUGUUGUGUUCAACAGAACAAAAAAUUCAUAAAAGUUGACUGUGAUGAUAUUUUCUUUUUUUGUUCAACUAUCCUUUUAAGGGAAAAAAACGUAAAUUGAGUCAAAAAGACAAAUAGUCACUAUUUCUUUAUGUGACUAUGAAAGGAAAGUGUUGUUUUAUAUUGUAUAUUUUUUAUUAAAUGUUGUAAUUGUUUUAUGUUACAUUGAUUUCUGA